rnacentral:rRNA from 1 species
UACGAAGGGUGCAAGCGUUACUCGGAAUUACUGGGCGUAAAGCGUGCGUAGGUGGUUUGUUAAGUCUGAUGUGAAAGCCCUGGGCUCAACCUGGGAACGGCAUUGGAAACUGGCUUACUAGAGUGCGGUAGAGGGGUGUGGAAUUCCCGGUGUAGCAGUGAAAUGCGUAGAUAUCGGGAGGAACAUCUGUGGCGAAGGCGACGCCCUGGACCAGCACUGACACUGAGGCACGAAAGCGUGGGGAGCAAACAGG